AUUGAACGCUGGCGGCAGGCCUAACACAUGCAAGUCGAGCGGAUGAGAAGAGCUUGCUCUUCGAUUCAGCGGCGGACGGGUGAGUAAUGCCUAGGAAUCUGCCUGGUAGCGGGGGACAACGUUUCGAAAGGAACGCUAAUACCGCAUACGUCCUACGGGAGAAAGCAGGGGACCUUCGGGCCUUGCGCUAUCAGAUGAGCCUAGGUCGGAUUAGCUAGUUGGUGAGGUAAUGGCUCACCAAGGCGACGAUCCGUAACUGGUCUGAGAGGAUGAUCAGUCAAACUGGAACUGAGACACGGUCCAGACUCCUACGGGAGGCAGCAGUGGGGAAUAUUGGACAGUGGGCGAAAGCCUGAUCCAGCCAUGCCGCGUGUGUGCAGAAGGUCUUCGGAUUGUAAAGCACUUUAAGUUGGGAGGAAGGGCAGUAAGUUAAUACCCUGCUGUUUUGACGUUACCGACAGAAUAAGCACCGGCUAACUCUGUGCCAGCCGCCGCCGUAACAC
rnacentral:rRNA from 1 species